UUGGAUAUCAAGCAACAUGAGUUUACAUUGAGUAACAGAUCGAGGGGCUGAACUUAUUAACCACUAACACUUUGGUAACAAGAUUUAACUUCCUAAUACAAAAAGGAAAUCAAUAUGAAAUUCAUGAAUUGAGGUCAUAGGCACCACCCUCACUCAAUUUCAUGAAUUAAAACCCAAACUACCACAUAAACCACAAGUUGAAGUUUGAUGGAACCACACGAACAUUG
rnacentral:lncRNA from 1 species